rnacentral:rRNA from 1 species
CGUGAGAUGUUGGGUUAAGUCCCGCAACGAGCGCAACCCUUGUCCCUAGUUGCCAGCAUUCAGUUGGGCACUCCAGGGAGACCGCCGGUGACAAACCGGAGGAAGGUGGGGAUGACGGUCAAGUCAUCAUGGCCUUUAUGGCCAGGGCUACACACGUGCUACAAUGGCAAGUACAGAGGGAAGCCAACCGGCGACGGGGAGCCAAUCCCAGAAAACUUGUCGUAGUCCGGAUUGGAGUCUGCAACUCGACUCCA